AUACGUAGGGGGCGAGCGUUGUCCGGAAUGAUUGGGCGUAAAGAGCUCGUAGGUGGUUUGUCGCGUCGUCUGUGAAAUUCCGGGGCUUAACUCCGGGCGUGCAGGCGAUACGGGCAUAACUUGAGUACUGUAGGGGAGACUGGAAUUCCUGGUGUAGCGGUGAAAUGCGCAGAUAUCAGGAGGAACACCGGUGGCGAAGGCGGGUCUCUGGGCAGUAACUGACGCUGAGGAGCGAAAGCAUGGGUAGCGAACAGGAUUAGAUACCCUGGUAGUCCAUGCCGUAAACGGUGGGCGCUAGGUGUAGGGGUCUUCCACGACUUCUGUGCCGUAGCUAACGCAUUAAGCGCCCCGCCUGGGGAGUACGGCCGCAAGGCUAAAACUCAAAGGAAUUGACGGGG
rnacentral:rRNA from 1 species